rnacentral:rRNA from 1 species
AUUGAACGCUGGCGGCAGGCCUAACACAUGCAAGUCGAACGAGUGGCGGACGGGUGAGUAAUGUCUGGGAAACUGCCCGAUGGAGGGGGAUAACUACUGGAAACGGUAGCUAAUACCGCAUACCAUCGGAUGUGCCCAGAUGGGAUUGGCUAGUAGGUGGGGUAACGGCUCACCUGGGCGACGAUCCCUAGCUGGUCUGAGAGGAUGACGAGACACACUGGAACUGAGACACGGUCCAGACUCCGACGGGAGGCAGCAGUGGGGAAUAUUGCACAAUGGGCGCAAGCAUGAUGCAGCGAGGCCGCGUGUGUGAAGAAGGCCUUCGGGUUGUAAAGUACUUUCAGCGAGGAGGCGUUACUCGCAGAAGAAGCACCGGCUAACUCCGUGUCAGCAGCCGCGGUAAUUC